CUUCUUGGAAGAUUAUAUUGGAGGUCGGGUCUGUCCACUGAGGAAAUGAAUUUAAAGGACCGCGGUAUAUUGACCGUGCAAAGGUAGCAUAAUCAUUAGUUUUUUAAUUGGAAACUGGAAUGAAUGGUUUGACGAAACAAUUAGUGUCUCUAUUUAAUUAAUUGAAUUUUACUUUUAAGUUAAAAGGCUUAAAUAUUAAUAAGGGACGAUAAGACCCUAUAGAUCUUUAUAAUAGUUUAAUUAUUAUUGUUUUGGUUGUUGUACUGUAAAUUUUAUUGAUUCUAUUAUUUUGUUGGGGUGAUGUGAGAAUAUAAGAACUUCUUAAUUUUUAACUUUGAUCGUUGAAUUUGAGAUCCUAUAUUUAUAGAAUAAAGAUUAAGAUACCUUAGGGAUAACAGCGUAAUUUUAUUGGAGAGUUCUUAUUGAUAAUAAGGGUUGCGACCUCGAUGUUGGAUUAAGAAUAUAUGUUGGUGUAGAUGUUAAUAUUGUUGGUCUGUUC
rnacentral:rRNA from 1 species